rnacentral:rRNA from 1 species
CGCCAGCCUGACGGAGCCAGACCGCGUGGGGGAGGAAGGCCCUUGGGUUGUAAACCCCUUUUCUCAGGGAAGAAGUUCUGACGGUACCUGAGGAAUCAGCCUCGGCUAACUCCGUGCCAGCAGCCGCGGUAAUACGGAGGAGGCAAGCGUUAUCCGGAAUUAUUGGGCGUAAAGCGUCCGCAGGGGGCGCAUCAAGUCUGCUGUCAAAGGUCGGAGCUUAACUCCGGUUCGGCAGUGGAAACUGGUGCGCUAGAGGGCGGCAGGGGCAGAAGGAAUUCCCGGUGUAGCGGUGAAAUGCGUAGAUAUCGGGAAGAACACCAGAGGCGAAAGCGUUCUGCUGGGCCGCGCCUGACCCUGAGGGACGAAAGCCAGGGGAGCG